GGUGGAGCGAUUUGUCUGGUUUAUUCCGAUAACGAGCGAGACUCUAGCCUGCUAAAUAGUGACUAGAUUUUCAUGUCUAGUCUACUUCUUAGAGGGAUAAGCGGUGUUUAGCCGCACGAGAUUGAGCGAUAACAGGUCUGUGAUGCCCUUAGAUGUCCGGGGCUGCACGCGCGCUACAAUGGAAGAAUCAGCUGGCCUAUCCAUUGCCGAAAGGUAUUGGUAAACCGUUGAAACUCUUCCGUGACCGGGAUAGGGAAUUGUAAUUAUUUCCCUUGAACGAGGAAUUCCUAGUAAGUGUGAGUCAUCAGCUCACGCUGAUUACGUCCCUGCCAUUUGUACACACCGCCCGUCGCUGUCCGGGACUGAGCUGUCUCGAGAGGACUGCGGACUACUGUAUUGAGGCUUUCGGGUCGCGAUAUGGCGGAAAACAGUUCAAUCGCAAUGGCUUGAACCGGGUAAAAGUCGUAACAAGGUAUCUGUAGGUGAACCUGCAGAUGGAUCAUCG
rnacentral:rRNA from 1 species